rnacentral:rRNA from 1 species
GAUGAACGCUAGCGGCAGGCCUAACACAUGCAAGUCGAGGGGUAGAGGUUGCUUGCAACCUUGAGACCGGCGCACGGGUGCGUAACGCGUAUGCAAUCUGCCUUGUACCGAGGGAUAGCCCAGAGAAAUUUGGAUUAAUACCUCAUAGUAUCUUUUCCCGGCAUCGGGAGAUUAUUAAAGUUCCAACGGUACAAGAUGAGCAUGCGUCCCAUUAGCUAGUUGGUAUGGUAACGGCAUACCAAGGCAAUGAUGGGUAGGGGUCCUGAGAGGGAGAUCCCCCACACUGGUACUGAGAAACGGACCAGACUCCUACGGGAGGCAGCAGUGAGGAAUAUUGGUCAAUGGGCGCAAGCCUGAACCAGCCAUGCCGCGUGCAGGAUGAAGCAUCUAUGGUGUGUAAACUGCUUUUAUACGGGAAGAAACACCGGUUCGUGAACCGGCUUGACGGUACCGUAAGAAUAAGGAUCGGCUAACUCCGUGCCAGCCGCCGCGGUAA